UUUUGCGAACGCUGCUGUUCGUGAACCGAAUUGUUCGUGAACAGAAGCGUUCGUGAACCGAGGUACUGCUGUACAUUCUUAUCAGUUUUUCAGACCAGGUUGCCCCCAUUUUGUCUUCACAGGGCAUUUAUUCAGUAAUAGACUUAAUAUACUAUAGAGCUGGUGUGAACCGUAAAAGUAAAGCUUUCCGUUUUGAAGUUUUCACAUGUGAUCAAACAUGCAAUUUGUGAUAGCACCUAAAUUUUUACAGAGAUCAUUUUUCUAGAAGCUGGCCAUACAAUAAGCAGGAGAUUAUUAAGGAGGAGAUUACCUGGGCAAAAUUUGAAUGGCUAGAUCAGGAAGCUCAAUCAUUUUAGGCUGGUGGGUAUAAUUUGGAAUUUUGAAAACCACAGGUGCUGUUGAAAAUGGCAGGGUCUUGCUCAGUCACAAAAUGGCUAUCAGGUGGGAUGUUAUCAGUUACAGAACGUCUAUUGCUCAGAACUCUGUUGGCUCUCCUUCAGUAGAACACUCCCUGCUAUCCCUGCUUACCUUUGAACUUUUUCUAGACAGGUGAACCCAGUUUCAGAGAAAGAAAGAGGUUGCAGUCAACCAUCAUUUUUAUUUUCAAAGAAAGCUUAUGGGGCCCAUUUGGGACUUGGAAACAUUCUUGAAAAGAAAAGGUGUCUCACAGCACUGUCAGAUAACAAAGACUACUGCUGUUAUAGCUUUCAAAUUCCACAUUAUUAAAGCAAAAAAUCCAUGAAGUGUUGCUGUUAUGGACUUAAUGGGUCCUUUUGAUGCCACCAGCAAAAAUCAUGUAUGCCAUCCUACUGAUACAUGUCUUUAGUGAGAAGGCUGUGGUUUUGCCGUUACAUGAUCUUUCAGCAGCUGAAAUGGCAGCUGAAAUGACUAAGGCAAUUAUGAAGACAUUACUCUGUUAUGGACCACUUCAGAAAAUAGCUGUAGAUCAGGGAGAAGAACUUAUUCAUCAGAUAAGAUGGGUGCUUCCACUCUGAACAGGUUGGCCCCUGCAUUAAAGACUACAUCGCUAAUAAUGGCUGUGCAAUACUCAGAGAUGCUGCAGGCUCAAGACUGAAAUGACCCAUCAAAAUAUCUCAUAUUAAACCCUAUAUAAGAGGAACACAUAAUCAAACAAUCUCCACUGCUGUCAAGACUCCUCCUCCUGUUCCAGCAAGAUGACUCCAUCUUUCCUAUUUGUCACUAAGAUUCCGGCUGAAGAUGCUUUGAGAAAGUCUGGUGCUUUGAGACUGUCCAUAGUUCGAUAUUAACGGGGGUUUUUGGGACGGGGUGGGUAGGUUGGUCACUAUGUUGUGGCAGUAUCUUGCACAUCAUUAUUCACAUGGCAGCAAUAGUACCUUAUAUAAUCCAGUGAUGUUCACUUAUUUUGUUUUUGGCUAAAAGUAUGCAGAGUGGCCAAAUAAAACA